CGCGUAGGCGGCUUCACAAGUCGGGGGUGAAAUCCUGUGGCUCAACCAUAGGCCUGCCCUCGAAACUAUGAAGCUUGAGGCCGUGAGAGGAAAGCGGAAUUCCUGGUGUAUCGGUGAAAUGAGUUGAUAUCAGGAGGAACACCGGUGGCGAAGGCGGCUUUCUGGUGCGGUUCUGACGCUGAGGUGCGAAAGCAUGGGGAGCAAACG
rnacentral:rRNA from 1 species